GUCCAGACUCCUACGGGAGGCAGCAGUGGGGAAUAUUGGGCAAUGGACGCAAGUCUGACCCAGCAACGCCGCGUGAAGGAAGAAGGCUUUCGGGUUGUAAACUUCUUUUAAGGGGGAAGAGCAGAAGACGGUACCCCUUGAAUAAGCCACGGCUAACUACGUGCCAGCAGCCGCGGUAAUACGUAGGUGGCAAGCGUUGUCCGGAUUUACUGGGUGUAAAGGGCGUGUAGCCGGGUUGACAAGUCAGAUGUGAAAUCCUGCGGCUUAACCGCAGAACUGCAUUUGAAACUGUUGAUCUUGAGUACUGGAGAGGCAGACGGAAUUCCUAGUGUAGCGGUGAAAUGCGUAGAUAUUAGGAGGAACACCAGUGGCGAAGGCGGCCUGCUGGACGACAACUGACGGUGAGGCGCGAAAGCGUGGGGAGCAAACAGGAUUAGAUACCCCUGUAC
rnacentral:rRNA from 1 species